rnacentral:rRNA from 1 species
AUACGGAGGGUCCGAGCGUUAUCCGGAAUCAUUGGGUUUAAAGGGUCCGUAGGCGGGAAUCUAAGUCAGUGGUGUAAUCUUGCAGCUCAACUGUAAAAUUGCCAUUGAUACUGGAUUUCUUGAAUUAGUGUGAAGUGGUUAGAAUGUGUAGUGUAGCGGUGAAAUGCAUAGAUAUUACACAGAAUACCAAUUGCGAAGGCAGAUCACUAACACUAUAUUGACGCUAAGGGACGAAAGCGUGGGGAGCGAACAGGAUUAGAAACCCUAGUAGUCC